CUACCGUGGUGCAUCGCGCUCAGCUGACAUGCAAGAUGGCUGCCCGUGCCAAGGGCGUGGCCGUGUGCUGAACUACGUUUCUGUCGUUUUACGAAAUCGUUUCCAACGAAACUCGUUGACAAGAAUGGAAUUCACUCCCGAGAAAAAUCACCGAGUUAUGGCUUGCACUUCCACAUCGGGCACCCGUUAGCUCACCCACGUUGUUGUUGCACGCGACGCGUACGCCGUGCUUACACGGCAGCCAUCUUAGGAUUCUCCUUCCACCUUCCGCGCACGGUCCAUCUGUCGCAGCCUCCGUCACUUUAUCCUUCUUCCUCCAGGGAUCUUUUUCGUCUACCUAUCCCUGGUUUUGCCUAUCCUCAGACCGCCUCUUUGACUCUCAGGCGUUAAGCAGCGCUGCGCUGUGUGAGCGUUAGUAAACACACGACGACAUUUUCGUGCGUAUCUUUUCGUGAAAAAUCGACUACGACGAGAAAGGAUGACGAAGAUUUCGGGAGGCUAUAUACAUCGGGAGUCAACAAAACUAACAAAAAGUCACAGUGGCGGGCGUCGCGUCAGGAAAAAGAAGAAAAGUGCGGCAGAAGUUUAAAAAUAUUUGGGUGAAAUUUCCGGAGGCAUGCUCGAUCAAACGUUCCAUUUCUUGGGCCAUCUACGCGGCGGAUAAUGGAGGAAACCAUUCAUAAAAUUCAUCAACUCUUAUAGAAGGAAAAAGUCAAAAGCAAGGAAAAUCCUGAAAGAAACUCGAAGGAUCUGGAAGGUCUGCAGCGAGCUAGUGGGCGGAGAUAAUGGCAGUCUUGAAAUUGGAUUAUCAAUCUCCGCGGCUCCUCGACCUCUUGCGCAGUGAAGGAAAACCAAGGAAAGAUGACUGGCGUUGGACAGAUUGAAAAGAAAUCGAAAGGGAUUGAAGGCGAUGAAUGCCAGGAAGAUAGAGGCGAGUAAGUCUACCGUGGUGAGUGACAGUAAGUAAUGCCAUCAGCGACGGUGGCAUGCACGAAAGAAGACAAAAUGGCGCUGGGUGAAAGGACAGACGACAAGAGGCGAAAGGGCGGUUUUCCUAUACGCUCACGAAAUGCCGCGACCGGGCUACCGACUCGAUAGCGUAUCGCUUUCCACGGACCCAAAGGUUACCGAAUCGUUUCGAGACUAUCUUAAUGGUUGGAUAGAUCGUUUGAUACUAUGGAUUACAUGACGAGCCACGAAAAGAAGAAAAACUUCAAGUAUCUAAUGCCCGAUGAGAAACAUGGAGAGAGAAGGGGAGCAUGACGAACGAAAGGAGGCGCGUGUCAAAGGGCGAAACCACAAAGAGUUGUAAAUGCCGGGCGUGUGCGACGGCGGCGGAUGACGGCGCAGUCUAGGCACUCUAAGCUUUGGAUAACGACAACGAACAGGCAACUGUAAUGCGACGGUGCACGAGUAAAAGAGAGUUUUUCUUUUCCUUUGGCUCGUAGCCCCCGCCACGGCUUAUCUCCCUACUAAAUCCAGCAAUUUUAAUACGCGUUUCUCGGCAAUUUCCGUGCUACACGUUCCUCCGUCGACUUAGCACCCCUUCUGACUCGAAUAGCUUCGAGCCGUUCCCUUCUCUCUCUCUCUCUCUCUCUCUCUCUCUCUCUCUCUCUCUCUCUCUCUCUCUUCCCCCGCCGCUUUUCCCUAACCCUCGACUCUUCUUUCCUGCCUGCCUGCCCCUCCUUUAAAUAAACCUCAUUUUUACGGCGCUAUUUAAAGCAAUUUCUGAUUUCCCUUAAUUCAUUACAACGUCGUUCCCUAUAGCCCCCCUUAAUGCGUCAUAGGCAUUGCUGGCAUUUCUUAAUUCCCCUCGCCGCUAAUUGCCGCGCAAUUCACCCUGUUCGAUGUUACCGGAAUUCUUUUGGAUUUGAUUUUUUUCCUUGUUUCUUCUUUCACAGAGGGUGGGAGACGUUCCGACUCCCCUGUUUCAAUUUCAACCCCGCUUUGAGUAAUUUUGCGUUAGGAGGAAUUGGAGGAACUACUACCUCCCUUUUGUACGAGAAAGUAAUGUUUUUCGACGAUUUCUUGGUGGAUUUAAUUAUAAAAAAGUUCGCACUGCAUACUUUCGCAUCGUACAUGUUCGAUAUCAUAUAAUUGAAAUCAUCGAGGGCGAACGUCGUGCUAACGCAACAUUUCAUUCGCGAUCUUUUUCAAUGAAUUUAUAUCGUCAGAUUCUAAUUUCUAAUUUUAUGCGCCAGGAAGAAGAAUUUUAAUUAUUUUUCAUCUUUCACUUAGAUGUUAUAAUUUUUCAGGAUUAAAUUAAAUCGAAUAUUAUGAUACGACUUUCUCGUUGUUAAAAUCUAAAUUCCACUCAACUACCGAACUCGUUCUAAUGAUUUGUGAUUAAAACAAAAAGAAAAAAGAAAAAAAGACGCCAAGAUUUCUGUCGCGGGCGUAGAUAGCAGGAACAUCGUUAGGGUAUCGCAAUAAUGAUCGGUGAUAAAGAUGUGGGUUAAUAAACCGAUCGAGGACCGGUCGGAGCUUCCAACGGCGAGCAAACUUUCUUGCCGGGGAAAUUGAGUCGGAUUUGAGUUAUGGGAAUGGCGUUCGUCCCUCGUGCAGGAAUCGGCCCUGGUCUAGCGGAACCCCCCGUGUCUAUUUCGAACCCUCCUCCGCCCGCAACACAUCUAUCGCCAUUACCAGAUCCAGGCAGGGAGGGAAACUUGUAAAUAAAAAGGAGUAACGAUGACGUAACCGGCGUUUCGCGGUUGCCGUGGGAGUUGCCCGUAAUAGGCUCGGUGUCUUUAUUUUUCUUCGUUUUCUCGCACGAUGAAACGCCGCCGUUGUAAGUAGCAAAGUUGGUUGCUAACGUCGCUCGGAGCGAUUCCCUUCGACUAUCGCCGCAGAAACGACGAGCGAUUUUUUCCUCCCUAUAGCGGGACGUGUUUCGGGGCAAGGACAAUUAUCGAAAGUAGAAUGAAACGCAAGUGUUAUAUUUGUUUCAAAACCGAAAAAAUUGAAUACCUUAGACAAGAAAGAAUUUUGUAAAGUGUUUAAUGUGUGAGAUAUUAAAAUUAUUCGACGAUAAACAUUGAAUAUUUGAAGUGAAGAAUUUAGUAGAAACAUGUGUAUACAGGAUAAUUUUGAUAAUCUUGAUUUGAUUCGAAGAUAGUGUUAUACUGCUAAUGAUUCUAUCCCGCAGACUAGGUGUUAGCUUCAAUUUGAACUUUAUUCGUUUGAACGAAAUUUCACAGUAGUGAAAAAAAUUGCUGCUGUUGUACAAAUAUAGCAAUAGCAAUCUAUGUUAGAAAGGAAAAAGUAUAGAAAUUAAUCACAUACUAUAUAUCGUUUUCGACAUAAUCUGAGUUAACUAAAGAAAGAUUCAAUUUAUACCUCGGUGAUCCAAAACAUUGCCCGACAUUGCACAAAGAUAAGAAACACGUCAUACGAUAAAAACCGUAAAGAUUCUUGGAUUGUACUCUGAGCCGAUUCCCACGUUACACUGUCGGUGGAGACAAUUUGUAUCAGUUCGUGAUCAUUAUACAUUCAUAUCCAGGCGGUGGAGAUUUAAGCGAAGAGCGAGUUUCUACUUUGCAAUAAAUUCAAGCUUGCGAGGCAAUUACUCUGUCCGGCCGUAACGGCCGCUAGUUUGAGAUUAAAAGAGAAGAAGAAGAAGAAGAAGAAAACGACGACGACGAUGGCCUCUCGUCCCCUCCAGGCAAAGGUAGGACAGGGUGACACGUUGUUGGCCGCAGGUCGCCGGCCACGGACAACGGAAGAGCAACAGAGAGGAGUUGAACCAGCGGCGGAGGGGAGGACACUUCCACGGGUGGUUGGAGGGAAAUGGCGGCCAUCUUUCCCACGGGCUCUUCUCGAGAACCAAUCGCCUUUCUCCAACGAGCAUUAAGGCGGCAACUCUCGCUGAAGAAUUGCCUCUGCCACGUUAGACACAUUUUUCUCGCUUUUCCUUUAUUCUCUUCUCUGGCUCCAGGAGUCCCGGGACUCUUGCGUCUCUCUCGGCCCCAUGGCCAGCCGCUUGCUUCCUCGCUUCGCUCCCGUCUUUUUCCCGUCUCUCGCCUCUUCCUGUACCAUCACCGCGCCGCGUCGUCAUUUCGCAUCUCUUAUUUUCUUUGUACACCCCAGACCGUGGCCCCCGCUGCAUCCCUCUUACACUUAUUCUUCGUCUUCUUUCUCCACCGCCGCUGCUGCUGCUGCCGCCACCGCCCUCUUUCUUUUCUUCCAACUUUCUUUUCUUUUCUAUCAUUCUUUUCUUUUCUUUCUUUUUUUUCUCUCUCUCUCUCUCUCCUCUUCUUUCCUUUACGCUCGCCGUUACGUAUACCCAUAGUACAGAGGGGUAUAAUAGUGUUCAUCCCUGAAGUGAGCUCCAUCGAGCGGCAGGUGGCUGACCUUAAUAACGCGCGACGCAACGUUUCACGGGCCUCUCACUCUCUCACUCUCUCUUAUCCUCUUCUCUAGGGAUCGAAAAGAAAUUGCGAGUGUGCCAUCUAUGAAACGUCGGAUAGAAGAUUUACUAUGGCGACACGGUGUUGCGGAUAUACUGGCGCGGAGAAAGCCGAUACCUUGGAUACCGGUGAAGGGUGAAAGGGCUGCUAGCUUCCCUCGAAGCUUCCCUACUUGACGGCUAUCUUCUGUGGGAAAGUUUGAACAAUCGAUGCGCUGGCUAUUAUUACCUUUCUACCGUGUCUAAUAAACAGCUCGUAGUGUGACGCUUGAUGUAAACGCGGCUUGAGGCGAAUGAAAAUGUCCCUAGAUAGAGUAGCGUUGCAGUCUCGUGCUCUGUAGAAUAUUAUUUUAUUGCGCCAUCGGGGCACAUCACAAUGUAUUCUUGAGAGUAAGCUGUUGUUCGGUGAAAAGGUGCCUUUGUUCGUUGAAGAGAUCGUAAAACGAAAUCGUAUAUCUAACUGAUCGAGCAUCGGGGAAAAAUGCACCGACUUGCAAAUUGGAAUAUUCUCUGGGUCGCUUUUCAAAGUAAUUUUCUUUCAACACUUUUGAUUUUUAAUGAAUUUCUUUCACGAAGUUGUUAAUUUACAAAAGUUUACGAGUAAUUUUUACGGGGUACCGAAAUUUUCCAAAGCGGUUUUCUUUGAUUAAAUGUUGAGAACUUUCACCCACUGGUCUAAUCU